CGCUUUAUGGUGUAGAAACAUAUUGUAUUUUCAUUACAAAGCCGAAACCUUUUUCUAAAGCAU
rnacentral:tRNA from 1 species